UCGUGUGUUUGUCCGCUAGGUGACGCCUGUAGUGACAACUUCCUCAGUUAAACUAUAGACUGGGCUGCCAUGUUGAUACUUGUCCAGUCUGCCUCUCCAGAGACGGCAAUCCCAUCGACCACAGCCCUACAUUUAUAAACAUUUUCAUUGGACUUUCAUACACAUACAUAUAUAAAUCUGUGUGUGUGUGUGUGUUGUACAUAUAUAGAUAUAUAUACUCUCCCAAUUCCAUACCUUUACAUAGCCCCGAAUCAAACACUUCAAGAUGAUGAUGCCUGUGUCAUUGCCCCCUAUGACAGGGCCGCCUCCACAACUCCCCAAUUUGAACCACCCUCCACCCAACAUGCCUCCUCGAUUCAAUAUGCCACCUCCCAUGGCCAUGUCUCAAGGACCUGGCAUCAUGCUUCCUCAAGGUUCCCAGCAACAACAACAACAGCAGCAGCAGCAGCAACAACAGCAACAACAAUUACAACAGCGUAGCUACAUGCAACAGAAAAUGAUGGCCAGCCAAGGGAUUAUGUUUGAUGGCAAACGGAUGAGGAAAGCUGUCCACAGAAAAACUGUGGAUUAUAAUUCAGCUGUUGUGAAGUAUCUUGAGAAUCGACUCUAUCAAAGGGACCACCGUGACUUCCGAGCCAUUCAACCAGACUGCCUUUACCAAGAAGGGCUUGUACCACCUCUCAGUAUGUUACAUAAUCCAAUGAACUGUGUGGUCACCAAAUUUGUCCGUACCUCAACCAACAAAUUCAGAUGUCCAAUCUUUGUCUUAACGUGGACACCUGAAGGAAGGCGUUUAGUAACUGGUGCUUCCAGUGGGGAGUUCACUCUGUGGAAUGGUCUUACUUUCAAUUUUGAAACCAUCCUUCAGGCACAUGAUACAUCAGUGCGUGCCAUGGUGUGGAGUCACAGCGACACUUGGAUGGUUACUGCAGAUCAUGCUGGUUAUAUAAAGUACUGGCAAUCUAACAUGAAUAAUGUAAAGAUGUUUCAGGGCCAUAAGGAACCAGUUCGAGGUAUCAGUUUUUGCCCAACAGAUGUGAAGUUCACCACAUGUUCUGAUGAUGGCACUGUUCGGAUCUGGGACUUCCAGAGAUGUCACGAAGAAAAAAUUCUGAGAGGUCAUGGAGCUGAUGUCAAAUGUGUUGACUGGCAUCCACAGAAGGCACUCAUUGCUUCAGGCAGUAAAGACAACCAACAACCCAUUAAACUGUGGGACCCUAAGACAUCGCAGUCUUUAGCUACAAUCCAUGCUCACAAGAGUACCGUGAUGGAAUUGAAAUGGAACAGAAAUGGUAACUGGCUAUUGACAGCGUCGAGGGACCAUUUGUUGAAGUUGUUUGAUAUUCGUAACAUGAAAGAAGAAAUGCAAACAUUCAGGGGCCACAAAAAGGAAGCAACUGCUGCUGCUUGGCACCCAAUUCACGAGGGACUGUUCUGCAGUGGAGGAUCAGAUGGAACCAUUAUGUUCUGGCAAGUAGGAAUUGACAAAGAAGUAGGUGGAAUGGAAGAAGCCCAUGAAGGAAUGGUAUGGAGUCUGGCAUGGCAUCCUAUGGGACACAUUCUAGCAUCUGGUUCCAAUGACCACACCACGAAAUUCUGGACACGUAACCGGCCCGGUGAUAAAAUGAGAGAUCGGUACAAUUUGAACACACUACCUCUAGGAAUGGAUCAAGAGGCUGCUGAUUGUGAUUACGAACAGAUAACCACACAUCUACCUGGAAUGGGUCUUGAACAAUUUCCAGAGAAAGAACAGAAAAUGAAAGAGAUAUCCAGUUUAAGUUGUGGUAGUGGCAGUGACAAUGAUCUUCCUGCAAUUCCUGGACUGGAUUGGGUUGCAGAUGAACAGUACUUAAAGCAACAGAAUGAACAGAGGAUACCCCGCAAGCGGGUACCAUAUGCUCGGCCUGUGCCGAAGAACUUUGAGCAAGCCUGGCUCGGGCAGAAACCGACUGGAGCGGCAGGUACUGAUGGGAGCCAACAAAAACCUCCUGCACAGAAAGACGACGGUACAACGCCAGCUGCCAACCUCCCGCCUCAGUCUAGAGAUGGUGUGACCCCAGCUAAUCAACCACAGACUACCCCACUUGCUGCUGGUAAUCAGACAGUCCCUGCUCCUCCUCCACAGCCAGGAAAGAUGCUUGGCAAUCAGCUCAGUCUGCCCCCAAAUAUGCCCCCACCUCCCCAAAUGCAAGGAGGCCCAAUGAACAUGAAUGCACCUCCACCUCCUCUUCCAAUGGGUGGUCAGGUGAUGCACCCUAUGGCCCAAGGACCUCAGACUAUACAACCACCAGGCAUGAUAGGACCUCCGAAUAUGACUGGUAUGCCUCAGGGAUCACGUCCUCCGGUACAUAAUCCAAUGAAUAUACGAGGUCCAACCAUGCAGCAACCUCCACCUCCACACGGACAAGCUGGCCCCAUGGUAGCCCCAAAUCAGAUGCCUAUGAUACGACAGGGACCACCAGGAAUGCAGUGUCGACCAGGACCAGGUGGUCCAGACCCUAAUGGCCCUCCUCCUCCUCUCGGCAACCAACAGGGACCUCCACCUCCAGGACAGUACAUGCAGGGUGGGGAUGGCCCCGAGAACAACCAGUCCCGACCCCCAGGCAGUGAAGGUGAAAUGGGCAAUCUCAGUCACCGCGACAAGGAUUACCGACAGGGGGGUUCCAAUAUAAAUGAUGGCAACUUCAUGCCACAUGACAUGAGGGGUGGUGACGGCGGAGGAGGUGGAGGAGGGGGCAUGCCCCCACGUGAAGGCAUGGGUGGAGGUCGACGAGGUGACAUGAAUAUGGGACAUGGUGGUGGCGGUGGUCAACGCUUCAACAAUGACCGACCCCCAAACCAGUGGCCACAGGAUGGCCCAGACAUGUCGCAACGCGACAACCAGCCGUAUGACAGAUCCAUGGACGAAUAUCAUGACAUUGACGAGAGGAUGGAGCGUAGCCGUGGUUACCACCAUCACCAACAACAGCAGGGCCGGAAUCAAGGGGGUUUUGGCCCACCUCAAAUGAACAAUCCCAACCAUCCUGAUGCAAUGCACCGGGAUGAUUUUGAACACCACCGGAGGAUGGGUAAUGACUCUGGUGGUCCUGACCAGGGUAUGGACAUGGGUAACAGCCGCAAGCGUCACUGGGAUGAUGACCAGAUGAACGUCCCACCCCCUGCUAUGAUGGACAUGCGAGACAAGUACAAUCGACAAGACAUGGGGCCUGAUUUCUCGUCUGUCCGCAACAACAGCAACAAUUACAACCAAGACUAUAACUCCGGACCACGCGGCAGCGGCGGUGGUGGUGGUGGUGGUGGUGGUGGCGGAGGGUUCAGGGGAGGACGCAACAAUCGCAACAACAAUCGAAAUGGUGGUAGGGGCCCAUACCGAGGGGGGCGCAACAAUCGGUGUAGAUAAUACCAAAUCCACUCUUUGUGCAGGAUCAUACAUGCUGACACAUACACACACACACACACACACACAUAACUAGAAACCUGAAUCUCAAACAUCACAAUCAUCAUCAUCAUAAUCAGCAUCGUUAGCAAGAGAACACUUUGUUGUUUAAAAUUGGUGAGGAAGCAGGGUACUAUAUUAAAGAACGGGGCCGUUUCAUAUUGGCAUUUACUAGAGAUGUAGUCUGUUGUAUAUUGAUGGUAGAAUUUGAUGGAAAGUGGCGGCGGGGUUGUUUUUGGUGGAGUUGGACUGUUUUCUUGGAGGAGUUGUUUGGUGGGGGAAUUGUGUUUGCGAAAUUGUUGGAGAAAUUCAGGGAUUUCACAGAAGUGAUGGAGGUAGCUGAGAUUGGUUGUUGUUCACAGUGCUGACGAAGGAAUUCUAUUCGUGGGAUUCACUGCAGAAGCUCGAAUCCACAGAAUCGAUUAUCGACGGUGGAAUUUUUAGGGUUGAGAGGAAUAUGACUGUUGAAUUCUGUCCCAUGGAGUUUGGAAGAAUUCAUUCAGUUGUUGAUGAAAGACAAACAUGUAUUGAUUAUUGAUUUGUAAACCAAGAGAAAAAAAAAAAGAAACAAAAAAGAAACAAAAAAAAUCCUGAAAACCAAAAACCAAAAAAAAACCCAACAAAAGA